rnacentral:rRNA from 1 species
GGGGGGACCAUCCUCCAAGGCUAAAUACUCCUGACUGACCGAUAGUGAACCAGUACCGUGAGGGAAAGGCGAAAAGAACCCCGGCGAGGGGAGUGAAAAAGAACCUGAAACCGUGUACGUACAAGCAGUGGGAGCCCCACCACUAAGCCAGUGGUGAACUCCACAUCCGCAUCCUUUGCUGAGGAUACGGUUAACGGAGCGAAAGCGACGUUCAACCGCAAAACAAGCAGAGGGGGCUUAGUGGUGGGGUGACUGCGUACCUUUUGUAUAAUGGGUCAGCGACUUAUAUUCUGUAGCAAGGUUAACCGAAUAGGGGAGCCGGAGGGAAACCGAGUCUUAAUUGGGCGUUAAGUUGCAGGGUAUAGACCCGAAACCCGGUGAUCUAGCCAUGGGCAGGUUGAAGGUUGGGUAACACUAACUGGAGGACCGAACCGACUAAUGUUGAAAAAUUAGCGGAUGACCUGUGGCUGGGGGUGAAAGGCCAAUCAAACCGGGAGAUAGCUGGUUCUCCCCGAAAGCUAUUUAGGUAGCGCCUCGUGAAUUCAUCUCCGGGGGUAGAGCACUGUUUCGGCUAGGGGGCCAUCCCGGCUUACCAACCCGAUGCAAACUGCGAAUACCGGAGAAUGUUAUCACGGGAGACACACGGCGGGUGCUAACGUCCGUCGUGAAGAGGGAAACAACCCAGACCGCCAGCUAAGGUCCCAAAGUCAUGGUUAAGUGGGAAACGAUGUGGGAAGGCCCAGACAGCCAGGAUGUUGGCUUAGAAGCAGCCAUCAUUUAAAGAAAGCGUAAUAGCUCACUGGUCGAGUCGGCCUGCGCGGAAGAUGUAACGGGGCUAAACCAU